UACGGAGGGUGCGAGCGUUGUUCGGAAUUACUGGGCGUAAAGGGCGCGUAGGCGGCGACCCAAGUCAGAUGUGAAAGUCCUGGGCUUAACCUGGGGACUGCAUUUGAUACUGGGUUGCUUGAAUUCGGGAGAGGAUAGCGGAAUUCCCAGUGUAGAGGUGAAAUUCGUAGAUAUUGGGAAGAACACCGGUGGCGAAGGCGGCUAUCUGGACCGACAUUGACGCUGAGGCGCGAAAGCGUGGGGAGCAAACAGG
rnacentral:rRNA from 1 species